GCCAUACAUCUUUAGUAUUCCUCUCUCUACUCUUGUAAAAAUUUCUACUUUUCAGUUAAAUAAAAUUCCAGGUGUUUUUGCUAUCUACUUCUGAAGAUCUACUAAAGGGUCGAAAUAGUGAAGUCUGUAAGUGGGAAGAUCUUGGCUAGUCCGGAGUUCCUGUUGAGGCCCAUGUUAAGCCAUGUUUGAGGCGUUAUUUGGGCUAUGUUGGAACCGUAAAAGAUCCUCCCAUUCUCAAACGAUCUAACUCGUAAACGAACCGGUAGUUACAUCGAAGCGAUCCUGUCGUAUUUUGUUCCAAAAUAUCGAGGUCUGUAUGGCCAUGCGGACUACCGCCAGCCUUGGAACUAGAUUUUUCAUUGAAAAACAUUUUUUCAUUGAGACAAUCAUUAUAUAAAUUGUUAAUAUAAUUGUGUAAUAAAUUGACAAAUUUUAGGUAAAAAUAUAAGUUAGAAUCAUAAAAUGUGAUCGAGAAGUAUAAAUAGUUAGUUUUUUCUAAGAAAAAAUUAACACAUAAUUUAUUUUAAAUAGAAAUACAAAAAUUAAAAAAUUGGAGCCUAAUGUGUAUGCCUUUUAAGCAUAGCGCCACCCCUAUUGAGCCAUUUGCUACUUUUCGCUCUUCAAAGUUUCAUAGAAUUUCCAUUUUGGCAACAAACUCUACUUGCCACCAAAGAUAUAAUAUAACGUAUAUGAUUGUUAAUUUCUAAAUUAAAAAUUUUAGAUUUGAGUCUUGAUAUGAAAUGUUUCUCCGAAUAGAACGCUAUGCGGUACAAAUUCAAAAUAGUCAGGCUCCAACGUAGAUAUCACUCUAAAUUUGAUAUCACCAAAUAGAAAAGCAAAACAAAUAAACAAAUCAUACUCUAAACCCAUCUAGAAAAUCAAAACAAAGAAACUCUAUUUAUUAAUCCUCUCACUCUAAUAUAAAUAUCAAACACGAAAUAAGAAACCAAAACAAACAAAUAAACUCUACUUUAAACCCACUUGCGCCUCUUUCUCUUCCUCCAUGCUUCAUCAUCAAUAACUAAAAAUACAAAAGAUUGAGGUUUCAAGUCCACACCUGCAAAAACAAAUUAAGAACAGUACAUUAUACAUUGAGAUCUCAAUCAUAAGAAAAACGCAAUAAUUCUAUGGCGAAUUCGAAAUCUAAACCCAAAUCUCAUUCCCGGAACGUUCUUCAACUUUUCGCCGGCUUAAACCCUUCAAUUCCUCAUCUUCCUCCGAUCCGUUCUAUAGCAAUCACCACUAAUUCCGAUUCCCAAACCCUAGUUUUUGUCGGAACAGUCUCCGGAGACGUUAUUUCCCUCUCACUGAACCCCAAUUCCGGUUUAUCACUCUUCCUGCGGGUCAACAUCAUUGGUAAGCCUGUCACUUCGAUCCACGUUAUUAGUCAUAUAAAAAAACUCAUUGUUCUGUCCGACGGUUUUAUUUAUUUGCUCGACUUGAAUUCACUUGAACCAGUUCGAAAAUUGAGUCUGUUGAAGAAUGUUAAUGUUGUAAGUAAGAGAUUUUUUAGCAGUUUAAACAAUGGAAAAGAAGAUGGAUGUUUUUUUGCGGUUGCAGUGGGGAAGAAGUUGCUGCUUGUUGAGCUGGUUUUGAGUGGUUCUCCUGUAAUUUUGAAGGAAGUUCAGGGUGAUUUUACAGACGGGAUAAUGUGUUUAUCAUGGGUUGAUGACUCUGUUUUUGUUGGAACUAGGACUGCUUACUAUUUGUAUUCGUAUGCAAGUGGGCAGUGUUGUGUGAUAUUCUCAUUGCCCGAUCCAUCUGUCCUCCCAAGGAUGAAGUUGUUAGCAAAGGAGUGUAAGGUGAUGUUAAUGGUGGAUAAUGUCGGUGUUAUUGUGGAUAGUGAAGGACAGCCUGUGUGUGGUAGUUUAGUUUUCAGCGAAGCUCCAGAGACCAUGGGGGAGAUAGGGGCAUACGUUGUGGUGGUAAGGAGUGGGAAGUUGGAGCUGUAUCAUAAGAAAUCAGGGAAUUAUGUUCAGCGAGUUCAAAUUGUUGGGGAAGCAGGUAGUCCUUGUGUUGUGGCUGAUGAGGAGGAUGGAAGAGGAAAGCUUGUCCUUGUGGCAACAGAUUCAAAGGUUAUGUGUUAUCGGAAGGUGCCUUCGGAAGAACAAAUAAAAGACCUAUUGCGAAAGAAAAACUUUAGAGAAGCAAUAUCACUGGUUGAAGAACUUCAAAAUGAAGGUGAAAUUACAAGGGAGACACUCUCUUUUGUUCAUGCUCAAGUGGGAUUCCUCUUACUAUUUGACCUACGCUUUGAAGAGGCAGUUGAUCAUUUCUUGCUUUCAGAAACAAUGGAGCCUUCAGAACUUUUUCCAUUUAUCAUGCGAGACCCAAAUCGGUGGUCCUUGUUGGUUCCAAGGAAUAGGUAUUGGGGCUUGCAUCCUCCUCCAUCACUUCUUGAGAAAGUUGUGGACGAUGGCUUAACUGGUAUUCAGAGAGCUAUUUUCCUUAAGAAAGCAGGCGUUGAGACUGCAGUUGAUGAUGAGUUUCUUCAAAAUCCACCAAGCAGAGCUGAUUUAUUGGAGUCUGCAAUUAAAAACAUGAUCAGGUUUUUAGAAGCAUCACGACAUAAAGAUUUAGCUCCUUCAGUAUGCGAAGGAGUUGACACUCUUUUGAUGUACCUUUACAGAGCUUUAAAUCGUGUUGAUGACAUGGAAAGACUUGCCUCAUCAGACAACAGUUGCGUAGUGGAGGAGUUGGAAUUAUUGCUGAGUGAAUCUGGGCAUUUGCGGGCACUUGCCUUUCUGUACGCCAGUAAAGGGAUGAGCUCAAAGUCUCUUUCAAUCUGGCGUGUGCUGGCUCGAAAUUAUUCAUCCAGCUACUUGAAUGAUUCACAUGGUGCAAACCACUUACAAGAUACCAUAAAUAGUAUUACCUCUGAUCAAGAGACUGCUGUAAUGGAGGCUUCAAAAAUUCUUGAGUCAUCAUCUGAUCAGGAGUUAGUACUGCAACAUCUAGGAUGGAUUGCAGACAUCAACCAGCUGUUAGCUGUACAAGUACUUGUGUCAGAGAAAAGAACAGAUCUACUCCCACCAGAUGAAGUAAUUGCAGCGAUUGAUCCCAGAAAAGUCGACAUUCUUUUAAGAUAUCUCCAGUGGUUAAUUGAAGAUCAAGACUCUGGUGACACACGGUUUCAUACAACUUAUGCCCUCUUGCUUUCUAAAUCAGCACUUGAUGCUAGUGAAAAGGAGCAUGUUACGCACAAUCUUGAAGGUGUAAACCAUAAGGAGAUAAACAUCUCAGACCGUUGGAACAACUCAAUAUUUCAUACUCAUGUCAGAGAGAGAUUGCAAUUUUUUUUACAGUCGUCUGACUUGUAUGAUCCAGAGGAGGUUCUUGACUUGGUUGAAGGAUCCGAGUUAUGGCUCGAGAAGGAAGCUUGGUCAAGAAACAUUAGUGCUUCAAAUUCUUGCCUUAAAGUUGGAAGACUGUGAAGCUGCAGAACAAUAUUGUGCUGAGAUCGGUAGGCCAGAUGCUUACAUGCAGUUAGUACAGUAUUCUCUCAUUUGUUUCUUUAGAUUACUGGUUUAGUAGAAGUUCUCUUAGCCUUUCCCUUACCUUGUCUCUUCUUAGGCUGCUUGAAAUGUAUUUGGAGCCAAUGAAUGGUAAAGAGCCUAUGUUCAAAGCUGCUGUGCGCCUGUUGCACAAUCAUGGAGAAAUGCUAGACCCUUUGCAAGUUUUGGAGAGAUUGUCACCAGAUAUGCCCCUUCAACUUGCUUCUGAGACAAUAUUAAGGAUGUUGAGAGCUCGACUUCACCAUCAUCGUCAAGGCCGAAUUGUCCAUAACCUAUCUCGUGCUUUGGAUAUUGAUGCAAGCUUGGCAAGGUUUGAGGAAAGAUCGCGACAUGUUUUGAUAAAUGAUGAGAGUGUCUGUGACUCUUGCCAUGCUCGACUUGGAACCAAACUGUUUGCGAUGUAUCCAGAUGAUACCAUAGUCUGUUACAAGUGCUUUCGUCGUCAAGGUGAGUCAACCUCCGUGUCAGGUCGCGAUUUUAAGAAAGAUACUUUAUAUAAACCUGGUUGGUUAGUGACAAGGUGAUAUGCUACCAAGGACCUGUGACUUUGAUGGAUGCUCCAAGCAUGGACUGACUUGGCUUUAGCCCUCACUACAUAUGUGGUUAAUUUAUAAUAUGUCCGCAGCUCAUUUCAUGAGAACUCACUACACACCCAUAGUUGAUUAUGAUGCGACUCUAAUGUAAAUUUGCUUCAGUAGAAGGAAAAAGAUCAGGAGUUCCUUGGUAACUUCUCCGUCUGUGCACACGCAUGAGCAGAGACACUAGAGCUAAGAAGUGAUUUCUUAUGCACUUGUGCCGGGGGGCCGUGGUUUUGAAUUUGCACAGUGGCUCAUGGUGUUAGAUUGUGGAAUUCACCAUCAUCCUUUGAGUUGUUGAAGUCGGCAGUAAAACUCCAAUGUAGCAAUUAUGCAACUUUGUAUUCUGGUGAAGAUGGAGAGACUGUCUUUGUGUAAUGUUGAUUAUCAUUUUUCUCUAGAGCUGUCAUGUUUUUAAGGCAGCUGAUCAGCUCUAGGAACAGAAUGUAUAUUAUAUCAUUUUUCUUCUAAGAUAAACAUUUUUCUUUCUGUAUAUUGUCAUGUGGAAAUUGAGUAUUGUAUCUUUUUAAAGUUUGUGAAUGUGAAACAGAAGUAAAUAAA